ACUCCGGCAGUGGCGGACGGGUGAGUAACGCGUAGGAAUCUAUCCUUGGGUGGGGGACAACCGUGGGAAACUACGGCUAAUACCGCAUGAUCCCUGAGGGGCAAAGGCGAAAGUCGCCUGAGGAGGAGCCUGCGUCUGAUUAGCUUGUUGGUGGGGUAAAGGCCUACCAAGGCGACGAUCAGUAGCUGGUCUGAGAGGAUGAUCAGCCACAUUGGGACUGAGACACGGCCCAAACUCCUACGGGAGGCAGCAGUGGGGAAUAUUGGACAAUGGGCGAAAGCCUGAUCCAGCAAUGCCGCGUGGGUGAAGAAGGUCUUCGGAUUGUAAAGCCCUUUUGGCAGGGACGAUGAUGACGGUACCUGCAGAAUAAGCCCCGGCUAACUUCGUG
rnacentral:rRNA from 1 species